rnacentral:tRNA from 1 species
CGCUCUUCCCGAAGUGAGCGAAUUGCAUGUAGAGAUCCGUAGGGGCUUAUAGUUUAAUUGGUUGAAACGUACCGCUCAUAACGGUGAUAUUGUAGGUUCGAGCCCUACUAAGCCUAC